rnacentral:rRNA from 1 species
GACGAACGCUGGCGGCGUACUUAACACAUGCAAGUCGAGCGGUAAGGCCCUUUCGGGGGUACGACGAGCGGCGAACGGGUGAGUAACACGUGGGUGACCUGCCCUCAGCUCUGGGAUAAGCCUGGGAAACCGGGUCUAAUACUGGAUAUGACUCCAUGACGCAUGUUGUGGGGUGGAAAGCCUUGUGCGGCUGAGGAUGGGCCCGCGGCCUAUCAGCUUGUUGGUGGGGUGAUGGCCUACCAAGGCGACGACGGGUAGCCGGCCUGAGAGGGCGACCGGCCACACUGGGACUGAGACACGGCCCAGACUCCUACGGGAGGCAGCAGUGGGGAAUCUUGCGCAAUGGGCGAAAGCCUGACGCAGCGACGCCGCGUGGA